UCUGCCCUUGGGUUCGGGAUAACCGUUGGAAACGACGGCUAAUACCGGAUGAUGACGUAAGUCCAAAGAUUUAUCGCCCAGGGAUGAGCCCGCGUAGGAUUAGCUAGUUGGUGGGGUAAAGGCCUACCAAGGCGACGAUCCUUAGCUGGUCUGAGAGGAUGAUCAGCCACACUGGGACUGAGACACGGCCCANACUCCUACGGGAGGCAGCAGUGGGGAAUAUUGGACAAUGGGCGAAAGCCUGAUCCAGCAAUGCCGCGUGAGUGAUGAAGGCCUUAGGGUUGUAAAGCUCUUUUACCCGGGAUGAUAAUGACAGUACCGGGAGAAUAAGCCCCGGCUAACUCCGUGCCAGCAGCCGCGGUAAUACGGAGGGGGCUAGCGUUGUUCGGAAUUACUGGGCGUAAAGCGCACGUAGGCGGCUUUGUAAGUUAGAGGUGAAA
rnacentral:rRNA from 1 species